GAGACAGUAGGAAUAUAGGGGACACUCAGAAAGAGUGUUUGAGGGAGCCCCUCCCCCUCAUCACGGCCGCUGUCACAAACACUUCUUAUCGCCGGGACGUUUCUGUGGCUCUCCUGUGCUGGUUGCCUGGCAACUUGGGCUGCAUUGAUAUGCGCGGCAGAGGGAGCAGGGGAUGCCGCCUGCCUCUGGAGCGUCAGCGUGGGGCAAGACUUCCCUCCAGCACCCUGCUUAACAACACACAUGCACUCACACACACACACAAUCCUACACUCCUACACUCCACACACCAGUGCUCAGGCAGCCAGCAGCUCCCGGCUCCUCAUCACUCUGGAGGAGAGGAAUCCUUCUGUCUCUUCUUUUGCUCUUUUGUUCCCUCAAAGUGACUUAACUUUACUGGUCUCAAAGUGGUGCAAGUAGUGGACCAUAUGCCUGGGCACAGCUUGAAACUCUUUGACGGUAUACAGCCACAACGGAGAGCAGCCUGGAGUGAAGUUUCUGACUGUUGAGUGAUUUUUCUCCAAUUCAACGGAAAGAAGAAGAAGAAAAAAAGAAGAGAAAUUUCAGGCUUUAUUUUUGGAACUUUGUCCAAUUAAAAAGAGGAAAAUUGGACUGAUCAUGUGAUUUUCAUCACUGUCCUGUCUAUUCAACGCCGGCCGACUCCUUUUCAGAAAACAAAGAGGACAAAGAAGAAGACGAACCAGAAAAAUAGCAAGAAAAAGAAAAAGAACAAGAUGAUCUGAUGCAGCUGAAGCAUGCAUAAGCUGUGCUCAAGAAAACUGAUGACAGCUAAACUCCGGUUUUGACAACUGAGAUGAAACAGAGCAGGAAAUCACAGACCUACCCUAGGGAACGACCAAAAACACAAAGCCUAAAAGCGGGCAAACUGGGAGACCCAGCAGCUCUUUCUCACCCUGGAAAUCCCUACCGGCUGAAGGAUGAGUGGCGCCAACUUGUCUCUUAGCUGCCAGGGAUGUCUCCAAACUCUGAGAAGGCAAUCCCUCCGAGCAUGCCCAGUCCUAUGUUCCUCCUGAUGCUGUGCAAGACUGGUCUGAGAGAGAAGCUGCAGACGACUUCAGAGAAAAUGGUCAACACUUCUCUCAGUGAUGAGGAAAAAGGAAUUCAAGAUAAGGAAAGUAAGGAGGAGUCCAUUCUGGCCAUGCUAGGCAUUAUCGGGACGAUCCUCAACCUGGUCGUUAUUAUCUUCGUGUACAUCUACACAACACUGUAACGCUCUUUCUGUGAACUUCAUCAUCGUCAUUAUGAACUGUGCCACAACGUUCAGGCUGGCAGCCCAUAUUACUGACUGCCUGAAGGAUCAUUACAGACAUCUUCAAUUGCACAGACGACAAUACCCCACUGAUAUGCCACGGCAGCUGAGGAGAAGAAUGUUGAGACUGUGGGAUAUCGAGUCUAUUACUGUCUGUAGCCGAGGGUAUGGAUAGGAACUCUCCGUAACUGUUAAUAAGCACGACUUUUUCCUCCAAUAGGAGCUCGGCUCUUACAAGCCUGAGAAUCAGAAUGGAAUGAUGAAACUGCUGUGCAUGGUACAGUACACAACAUGUUGAUAGAUGAGGUGCCAAAGCUUUCUGACUGUACAUCGUGUGGCCCUCACAGUGGUUCUGCAUUAUUGCAUUAUUGCUGACAUUAUGGUUGGAUGAGUGUUGAUGAACAGCAGGUCACUGCUAGAUCUCUUGCACUCCUUUUCAGGAAUUCUCUACUCUUUAUUCUACUACUCUGGCGAUUUUGUUUACAAGGCUUUGUUUAAAAGAGACUUGUUUUUUUAUGGAAAAAUUUAAGAACAUUGUUCCAAACAGUGUUGAGAACAGUUAAAAAAAAGGUUUGGAAUAUUUGAUAUACUUCUCAAUAUAAUCUGCAUAUUUGUAAUAAUCUUUUAUAUGACGGUAAGAUCUUUCUGUAAAGCAGCUUCAAUUUAGAUACACAACCAAGAUGACUUUGAAACUUCAUCCUCUUACAUUUCAAUACAUUUAUUUGGUCAAAUGUGUAAAGUCCUGUGUUAUUAGUCAGAAUAUCUCUGUUACUAUACUGUUAAAAACUAUAUUCAUGUGGGGCGGGGCAGGGGGUGUGGUUGGCAUUCUUGGCAUUGACUUUGACAGUUUCUUCAGUGUCUAAACCUGUGUAUGAUAUUGUAUGACUUAGUUCUUAGAGGUAUGACAAUGUAGGCUUUGAAAAAAGUAGACAGUUCUGUGUUAAGACUCUUAAGAUUAGGCCUGUCACAAUAAUUACAUUAUCAAAUUAUCAUAAAAUAUAUGAUCCUAAGCUUUUUUUGGUAACUUCAAUUUUGCACAUUUUGUUUACUUAGCAAGAAGAGACUCUGUUUAAAAAAGACUUGUUUUAUUUUUAAAUGUUUUAUUUAAUUGGGACAUUUAAGCAUUUUUAUAUACCAAUUCUAAUGUCUGAAUAUUCUUAAACACUAAAAGUUCAUAGCUCUUUAAAAGUAAUGUGUAAUUACUUUGCAUUACUAAAGCAUUAAACUAUUGUAUUAUCCUUGUAUCUUAAAAUGACAACAAUUCUGGGACAAUAUAUUUCAUUGAAAUGUUUUUUUUUUGGGAUUGUGACAGGCACAACUUCAGUAUCAUUCAUGGUAUAUAUACUGUAUGAUGUACAAUAUAUAUAUAUUGCCUUAAAAUAGAUAGAAUAAUCAUAUUCAUGUCGGCAUUAUGGUCAUUUACAUACUUCUGUUUUCCUCGGCAAGAAGCUGUUUUGAAGAAGUCCAUAUCUGAAUUGGGCAAUAAGGGAAAACAGUAUAUAUAUAUAACAUAUAUAACAGCAUUCAGCAGAACUGUAGAACAAAUGGAACAUUUAAAUGAAUGUCAUCAUGUUACCCGCACGUGAUUACAGCUUUUACAUUACAGCAUCAGUAUGAAACCUGCACUGACAAUAAAAAGCACAACAGGGGAGGUCAUAUUUACAGGAUGAAUGUAUAUACAGUAUGUAUGCAUGUGGAGUAUAUUUCUUCUAAUAUGAGAAACCCAUAUGAAACCUAUUUGUCAUUUCAUUAAGUGCCUGUGUUUCAGUAAGAAAUGUUUCAUUUUUUCAUUUUGUUUAAAUGGUAGAAGUUCUACCUAAAAGUGUUUCAUCAUCUUCAAAUCUGAUAAUAAGUUCAUUUGUAUCUCUGCUAAUACAGCUCGUUCUGAUCAUUUUUCUACAUGCAAAUUUUGCAGUCUUAUAUAAUUUCCAUUAUAUUAUAAAUUCAUUAUAAGGCGUACACAGCCAUUUUAAAACAGAAUCUCAGUGUAGAUCAUUUGAUAUUGUCUAUAAAGGUGAAAAAUUCUGUUCAAAAGGAUGAAUGGAAACUAAUUUCACACAAUGCUUCAAUUGUAAUCAUAAUUCAUUCUGGUGCAGCUGUCAUUUCUGUUUUAUUCAGAUUUUCAGUUAUCUUCUCUCAGUAUGUAAUAUUUCAGAAUGCUGGUCUACAGGAUGUUACUGGAACAUUUGCUCAUGUUUUUUUUUGCAUAGCGAUGAUGCUCUCUGGUAGAUAUAUUUUGUGCUCUGUACCUGUUCAUGUAACAACUUCACUUUUCUGCAGAUUUAGUAAAAAUGACUAAAUAGAUUUAGUAAAAAUAACAUUUGCGUAAAAUACAGCUGGGCUCUAACUGUGA